AUUCUACAAGAAGAGAGCCCUGAAGUUAGAUGAGCAAUGAGCAAUCCCUUUCUGUUGGUGAUUCUCUUUUGAAACAAAACGCAUCACUGCUCAAAGCUCAACUGCCAAAAAAAAGAAAGAAAGAAAGAGGGAGAGAGAGAGAGAGAGAGAAAGAAAGAAAGAAAGAAAGAAAAGAAAGAAAGAGAGAGAAAGAAAAGCUAAGAGUAAGGAGAAAAAAGAAAAAGAGAGAGAGAACCCACCACCCUGUGCGAACAGCACAGCUGAACAAAGGGAAAUAGAAGGUAGUGGCAUGUGAAUCCACGUGGCCCUUUGCCAACCCACUUGCCUCUCACGCUGCCACACUUGCAUAUAUCAGGGUAAUUUCUGGGAUGGAGGUUUUUACUGAGCACUUGUUGGCAGAGAGAUUUUCUCCCAGUCUCAUGACGUUCACAAAAAGCUAGUACUGAGAGGAAAAAACUGCUGGGACUUACAUGUAAUAGCAUCUUCCAAGCAGCUCUAUAAGAUGACUAACAUUUCAGCUGGACACGAGACAAAACUUGGCACCAGAAAUGGUGGAUGAUGGUGCACCACCACUGCUUCAUGCAGCCCACUAUCGAGGCAAGGGGGUCUGAGCACAUUGCCUGCAAAUAAUAUGUUUGCAACUUUUCAAUUCAUUUGAGUCCUGACUUAAAAAAAAGCGUGCCAGGCAAAUGAUCAUCUGCAUGACUUUUCAGAAGGUUUUGCCCUGCUAGCCCUUAAAUGAUAUGUGAAAACAAAUCAGGGAGUUGGGGCCAUCUGAAAUGUAGCUUGAGAGGGUAAGAGAAGAUGGAGAGACAUGCUAAGGGUUUAAAUAGGAGGAACCAAUGAGGAAAAGCACAUGACACUAUUAUAGUGGAAUUUUGCCUUUUUUUGGCCAUUCCUGUAUUUCCAUAGUUGUAACCAUUUGUUACAAGCUAUUCCUCUGAUUUUUUUUUUUUUUGCAUCUUAUAAAAGUGAGGAGUCUAUAAAAGACAACAUUUUGUAGGCCUGCAGCCUUUGCAUCUAGUUUUUGGAAAUAAGUUGUUACUUAUCUGCCUAUGAAUGCCUUCUCCCAGCUUUCCUCGAAUUUUUUGAGGGAUGAGGAAAAAUUAGUUUCCUUUUAAAAUACGGAACCCCUGGAGAACAUUUGUUUCUCAGAGAAUGAUAAACAAGGAAAGGGGAUGUGAUGCAUACAGCAAAUUUAAAAACAUUAUCAGGCUGGAUGCAGUGGCUCAUGAAGCUUGCAUUUUAGUGCAAAAAAACAAAUAAAUAUAUAAUGUGGCAAGUGUAUUGCUAAGCAU
rnacentral:lncRNA from 10 species